UACGUAGGCAGCGAGCGUUGUUCGGAGUUACUGGGCGUAAAGAGUGCGUAGGCGGUUUUCUGAGUUUGGUGUGAAAUCUCCCGGCUUAACUGGGAGGGUGCGCCGAAAACUGGAAGGCUUGAGUAUGGGAGAGGUAAGCGGAAUUCCUGGUGUAGCGGUGAAAUGCGUAGAUAUCAGGAGGAACACCUGCGGUGUAGACGGCUUACUGGACCAUAACUGACGCUGAGGCACGAAAGCGUGGGUAGCAAACAGG
rnacentral:rRNA from 1 species